rnacentral:rRNA from 1 species
UACGUAGGGGGGCAAGCGUUGUCCGGAUUUAUUGGGCGUAAAGAGCGUGUAGGCGGCUUCACAGGUCCGCUGUGAAAACUCGAGGCUCAACCUCGAGCUGUCGGUGGAAACCGUGUGGCUAGAGUCCGGAAGAGGAGAGUGGAAUUCCCCGGUGUAGCGGUGAAAUGCGCAGAUAUCGGGAAGAACACCCGUGGCGAAGGCGGCUCUCUGGGACGGUACUGACGCUGAGACGCGAAAGCGUGGGGAGCGAACAGG